rnacentral:lncRNA from 1 species
AUUACUGUGAAUUCCUUGUCAAAUAGUUUGAAAAAUUGAUUCAUAUUCAUCUUGCUCUUCACAGAUUGUCUUUUUAAAAAUAAGCUGUAAUUUAAUUGUUAUUGGUAAAAUAGAUUAUUUUUAUUAGUUCUUAAGCAUUUGUCUCAUUAUUAUAAAAGCUUUAUAGUCCAAUUUACAUGUUGUAUUUUAACAACCAGUCACCUAGUUUAGGUUUGCCAUGUGUAUAUUGGCUGAUUUUUGUGGAUUGUGUCAGUAUACACUUUAUAGUGUGGCUCAAUUGGCAGUGCCUUUAGGGUGCUAUUUUGAUGACUUUAUUUAUCUGCAGCUAUCAGGGACCCUAUUCAUCCAGGAUAUUUCUGCCUAAAGGGGGAAACUGUUUUUUUCUUGUGCCAUAUUUUAGGUGGCCCAUGAUGGGAGAGCCAUGGGGUAGAAUUGCCUUACUGGUGACUUCCAGCUUCCCUGGUGUCCUUCAAAGGAAUAUAGAUGCUAAAAAUCAUAAAGUCAAUGAGUGUUUGUGACCAGGUCAGCUGGUGAUAGCUCUCUUCAGCCAGCUCUGUGUGCUGCCUCAAUAGCACUUACUGGGAAGAAAGGAGACUUUAAAUCUAUAAAGCGGAAGAAUACCUAUAUCGAGAGCUCAUUCUCCUAGGGACUCCCAAAGGAUGCCCCUUGCAAGAGUUGUUAUGAUUUCCUGAUGUUGCCAAAGGGACUUUUGUUUGUUCUAAGGUGGUACUGAUUUUAUUGGGAGGCCAGCAGGAAUGGAUCUUAUUCUUUUGGGUCAGGACAUACAAAAGACUUAUGUUUUCAAACCGGAUUGUGUUUUUAUAAUAUUUCAAAAUUCACCUAUGUUUAUAAGAUGACUUUCAAAUGAAACAAAAUUCAUUGAAUUGCUAUUUAAUCUUAAUCAUUUUGCUUUAGCUUUGAUCAAGAUUGUAUUUUGUUACCCAAAAUGAUCAGUUAAUUUUUAAAUAGCUAAAUAUUGGAACUUGAGACACUUCUCCAGUCUUAGCAUCUUGGAAUUCAUUUAAGUAAUAGUGAAUUUUAUUGUCAAACAUAGGACUUCCUUUUUAAGCAAUUGAUUUCCAUCUGUGUGAAGGUUUCUCUUCUCCUCAGAAUGUGUCAGUAUGGAGCUUAAUCUCUUUCCAAAAUUCCUAAAAUGUUGUGUCAGGUUAUCCCUGCUCCUUCCUUAAUGCCACAAUUCAUUCUCAGACCCAGUCCCAAUUCUAAGGACUACAAUACCAAGACCUUGCUUUUUCAUUAGUUUCACUAUCUUUCCAAAGCCUAAUUUGUAGACAAUAUCAUCAGUUUUUCUAUCCUGUUAAUGUUACAUGUCACUCAUUAAACUUUCCAUUUUCCUUCCUUAAUGCUAACCAAACCCACAAACAGUGUUAUAGGCAUUAUGAGGUUUUAUUCUAGAAUCUCUCUGAGUAAUAAACCAUGUUUCUGUGUUCUUCCUGAUGGGCCUAGAUUACACGGGAUUUCCCAUAAGAAUGCACAUUUGCUGGUGAAUAUAAUGAUCACAUUAGAGUAUGAUCAUAAUCUUAAGAUUACUAAGGGGUAACAAAUAGUUGUCCCACAUGUGAUUCCAGAAAUAAUAGAGAAAUGACUUAAAAAAUAAAAACCUUAAUAAUGUACAAUCAGUUGUUAAAAGUUAUUUGCCAAAUUCACUGCUAAUUUUAAGUUAGUAAAAUGUUAAUAACCAGUGACUGGUUCACGCUUAGAUUCACAUAAGGAAUUGAGGGAAUAAUUUUACUAAAAAUUAAAAACUCUGAGCCACAAUCUGAACAAGGACUAGUUUGUCCAAGUUAUAUGCCUUACCUUUAUAAAAAAUAGCAAAGUGUUGGUAGAAUAGAAUCAGAUUUUUUUUCCCACAGUAAGAGGAGCAAUAGUUGUAUCAGUUCUAGAAGUGUAGUCAUUAUCAAUAAUCAGUCAUCAAUUGCCCAGAACCAGACCCCAGGUUGAUCAAAUGGCUUCUCUCUUUGGAACAUCAAGCUCUAAUGUCUACUAAAACAACAGAGAAUUAGAUUAAAAGAAUAAUGGGUGGUAUCUAACAUAUUCACAAAUGCUUCUGCAUAGCUUUCUAGGCGAAGUCCUCUAAUUAAAGUAGAAGUAAUGUUUCUGUCAUACCUGGUUCACUUUCAUGUAGGAAUUUAAAUGACAUUCCUUCACAUUGUUGUAUAGUUUUACCUUGUGUUACUUCUAAGUCUCUAUUCAGAUGCCCAUUGUCAAAUCUUAUGCAGAUAUUUAAGAAAAACAGUCAUACUUUAUCAUUUACUUGUGGGCCAUAUUUCAUUGAUGCAAUGACAGUAUUUCUAUAAAGUUUGUACAGAAAACUUUUUCAUUUCCAGUCGAAAUAGGGUUCUCCACAAAAACCAAAACCAAAAGAAUAUAGAUAAUAAAUAGGUAGAUAGAUCAAUAUAUCAAUAGAUAUUUGGUAUGGAAAUUGACUUGUGAUUAUGAAGGGUGCACAAUUCCAACAUCUACUUUCUGUGAACUUGAGGACCAAGAAAGUCAGUGGUGGAAAUCAAAGCUAUUCUAAAAGUCUUCAAAUCAGUGGAGCCAAUGGUUUAAAUCUUGAAGUCCCAAAAGCCAGGAGUUCUGAUGUAUGGGGCAGGAGUAGAGGGCUAUCGCAGCUUUAGGACUGAGCAAAUUCCAGCACCAACCCCUACAUUCAUAUUCUGUCUGGUCUCUCCAUGGUCAGGUUGAUGACUGCCACACUAGGGAGGGUGAUCUGCCNUCCAACUAGGGCUAUAAAAGGACCUGUGCUAG